GCUCAGACGGGAAGAAAAAGCAAAGGCAUGGAGAUUCCUGUCCAAGUCGGGAGUUUCCUCCCCUGCACUACACCGAUGUUUCGGUCGGAUGUAGUCCGAGCACGUACGUUUGAGCUUGCAUCAUGGUGAACUUUGACUAGGUAGGACGUUACCCGAGAAAACUCUGAUGAUUGUUCUGAGAGGUUCUGACGUGAAAAUCGAUAAUCAGAUGCCGGUAUAGUGGGGAAAGAUAAUCUAAUUGAUGAGAGAUUCCCUCCGGGGUUUCGUUUAGAAUAGCUAAGACUCGAAGACAGUUUCAUCCGAUAAUGCGAAUGAUUAUAUGCUUAGGGGCUGAAAUGAACUCAACCUAUUCUGAAACUAAAAGGGCGAAAAGGCCUACUUCGAUCGAAGGCCGGAUGCUUUACUGAGUGUUCAAUGGGUCGCUUUUGGUAAGCAGAACUGGUACUGUGAGAUGAACCAAGCACUGGGUUACGGCACCCGAUGUGAAACCUCUUGAAAGGCGUUGGUUACUCUAAGUAGCAUGGCCUUGGAAGUUGAAAUCUACGAGGAGUAUGUAACAACUUACUGCCGAAGCCACUAGCUCUGAAAAUGAAUGAUGCUCCUACUUCGAGCCCAUAACCGGUCACUAUCACAGAUGUCUCGCCGGAUUUAAGCGGCAGUGAGUUGGAGUGUCGCAGCGAAGAACGUUGAAUGGGCUUGGCGGGGACCUACAUGGAGUCUCCACCUUUGCACAUGUUGGGGUGCAAAUGAAUAAUUGAAGAAAAUCUUCAGGACUGAAGCUGGAUUUGAUUUUUUUUUUAUUAACAUCGCUCUCCGAGAUCUGGUAAGAGAAAUCCUUUAAGAAACGAUACUUUGUAAAGUUUGAUUAAUGAUGCUCGUCUCACAGUGAACCGAAAGGGAAUAAGGCCAGUAUUCCUUUACAAGGACAUGAAGUUCUAUGCUUCUAGUGGGGUAAAACACCCGAACUCAGACGUCGGUGGAGGGAGUGAGAAAAAUUGUCUUUUCUUUGUAAUAGGUCGUGUCACUGGAAUCAUUUUGUCCCGAGAUAAGGACAUCAACCUUGUUAGAGCAUCACAGAUGUUCGAUGCCUAGUGCGUCUUUACUGGCCCUUGAAAUUUCGAGGCAGGAGACUGUAGUUUUCGUGC